GUGGGGGAUAACACUCNCAACGGNGUGCUAAUACCGCAUGUGGUGAGCGGCCCGAAUGAGCAGGUCACUGAAGAUGGCCUCUGUUUACAAGCUAUCGCUUCUGGAUGGUCUCGCGUCCGAUUAGCUAGUUGGUGAGGUAAUGGCUNACCAAGGCUACGAUCGGNAGNCUGGUNUGAGAGGAUGGACAUGNCACACUGGGACUGAUAUACGGGCCAGACUCNUACGGGAGGCAGCAGNANAGAGGCUNNGGCAAUGGGGGAAACCCUGACCAAGNGACGNCGGGUGGGGGAUGAAGGNCCUUGGGUUGUAAACCCCUUUCGACCGGGAAGAAUGAUNGCCGGGUGAACAAUCCGGUGGUUUGACAGGUACCGGUGGAAGAAGCUCCGGCUAACUCCGUGCCAGCAGCCGCGGUAACACGGNGGGAGCGAGCGUUGUUCNGAAUCACUGGGCGUAAAGGGCGUGUANGCGGUUNNGUAAGUGGGAUGUGAAAAGCCCACGGCUNACCCGGGGAACGUCAUCUNAUACUGUUGGACUUGAAUGCNNGAGAGGAUGGAAGAAUUACUGGUGUAACGGUAAAUGCGUACAUUUCAGGAGGAACACCCGGUGG
rnacentral:rRNA from 1 species